AAGACAAGUAGCAUGAGCCAAUGUGGCCGGAAAGGUUCAGAAGAAGUAGGCGGAACUUGGAUUGUGCUAGGAUUUGCAUAGCAUCGGAGAAGUGGAGGAGUAUUUCAGGAAGUAGGAGGAAUACACAAAGGUGGAAAUUCGCAAGGAAUCUUCAGCCACAUAGGACAGGUUCUUGAACUAUGGCUCAAUACUCCACAAAAAAAGAAUCACAAGAAAAUGCUUCUAAAGGAAGAAAAUUGGCAACAUCUAAGAAACAGACUAGAAAAGAGCAGCACCACGUGUAAAUAUAGCGCCAGGAGACAAAUUAAUUGAUUUAUUAACUGCUGCCUAUAAAAUAAGUCAAGGAUGAAAAAUAACCAUCAGCUAAUUAUACAUACAAGCAUCUAUUAUCCUAUUGUGUAAGUGGGAAGUAUGUCCAAUUGGAAAUCAGGAGACCUAAGAUUCUCUUCCUAGAUACACUACUGGCCAGCCUUGAAAUUCAAAUUAUUUGGGAUUCUGCUUUUAUUUUUGAAAACUGGGGGAGGUCUACAGAGGAGAGUGGAUUAAUUAAUGAUCUCACUCAUGCACAAAGCACUACUUUCAACUUUACAAACCCAAAUGGAAUGACGAGUGUGCUCAUUCCUCCAACGCUCAGAAGAGGGCGCUCACAAUGACAAUGGAGAGUCACUAAAGUAGCCAUAAUCCCCCUUUCAGUUUCUCAGACUGAGUUUCAUUACCCAAGAAAUCCACAGGAUGGCAAUAACACUGCACUAGAAGUAAAUUUAGAGUGGAAUUCUAAGAACCAGGCUUCUUCAUGGCUAAUGUUUACAGAUUUCCUUUCCCCUGCUUUUAUGAUGUCACUGAGGCCAGAGAAGCUGGGAGAACAAAGGCUGUACACACAGCAGGACAGCAACAAUGACUCCCACCAGACAACCAAUCAUGAUCUAGACUCUGCAAUCCUCACAGUCAUGCAAAGGAGACUUUACCAUCCUCAUCCUCCUUUUUACGGAAGAACCAGGAGGAGAGAAAUCAUAGAGAAAAAGCAAGUAGAGAAAAAGGCAAAAGGAAUAAAGGAUUUUAUACUGGAGAUGAAGAUCUUGAUCUGCGAUCUUUGGAGAACUGUCUACCUCAAGAUUGUUGGCUUCUGUGGAGGAACCUUCCUAGUCAAUUUUAAUUUUAGCUCUUCAGCUGGUGUGCAGUUCUAA
rnacentral:lncRNA from 1 species